rnacentral:rRNA from 1 species
UUAAAAAGCUCGUAGUUGGAUUUCGGAGUGGGCCAGUUGGUCCGCCGCAAGGUGUGUUACUGACUGGUUUGCUCUUCUUCGCAAAGACUGCGUGUGCUCUUCAAUGAGUGUGCGUAGGACUUACGACGUUUACUUUGAAAAAAUUAGAGUGUUCAAAGCAGGCUAUUGCUUGAAUACAUGAGCAUGGAAUAAUGGAAUAGGACUUUGGUCCCAUUUUGUUGGUUUCUAGGGCCGAAGUAAUGAUUAAAGNAGGGGNACCAAUUGGGGGCAUCCGUAUUUCGUUGUCAGAGGUGAAAUUCUUGGAUUUACGAAAGACGAANAACUGGCGAAAAGCACUUGGCCAAGAGUGUUUUNAUUAAUCAAGAACGAAAGUUAGAGGAUCGAAGACGAUCAGAUACCAUCCUAGUUCUAACCAUAAACGAUGUCGACUAGGGAUCAGCGGGCGUUAUCGUACGAC